rnacentral:rRNA from 1 species
UACGGGGGGAGCAAGCGUUGUUCGGAUUUACUGGGCGUAAAGGGCGCGUAGGCGGUCGUGACAAGUCACUUGUGAAAUCUCCGGGCUUAACUCGGAACGGUCAAGUGAUACUGUCGGACUAGAGUACAGAAGGGGCAACUGGAAUUCUCGGUGUAGCGGUGAAAUGCGUAGAUAUAGAGAGGAACACCUGCGGCGAAGGCGGGUUGCUGGGCUGAUACUGACGCUGAGGCGCGAAAGCCAGGGGAGCGAACGGG